rnacentral:lncRNA from 1 species
CUAUCUCUUGGAUCUUGGCUUUUACUGCAUUGAGAGCUUUCCAAUGCCUUCAAUUAGAUAAUGAUGAUAAUGAAGAUGACAAUGAUACAUGUGUGUAUGUUUUGCCUAGAUUUCGAGUUGUCUUAGCAUAGAGUUGGUCCAAAUCAUCUGCAUCAUCCCAUCUACUAUUUCAGGAAGUAGAAGUCUGGAAUCUGUUUUUCAAAGCAAACCCUUUGUGAGAAUAAAAGAAUCACUAUCCUUAAAUAAUUGUAGAAUUACAUCAUUGAUCAACUAUGUCCCCAGCGGAUAAGAACUCAAGCAACACAUGGUGCUUUGAGAUCCAGGUGUAAUUUCCAGACACAGAAGGAAGCAAAGUGCCUUUCAAAGGCAGAACUGUCGACCAUUUCAGCACUAUCUGCCUUUUCCUGACUUGGAGAACACAGCACAAAGAAAGAAGUUAGGAGGGAAAUUUCAGAAGUUGUAGCAGUAAAAAAUCUAUUCAGCGCUGAGGUGAGUUGUUCAGGGGCUUG